rnacentral:tRNA from 1 species
AAUUAAUGAACUUGUAAAAGUGUGUACCUUGAAAGUAUAAAAAAGGCAAAUCAAAAACCUAUUAAUUU